rnacentral:rRNA from 1 species
UACGGGGGGAGCAAGCGUUGUUCGGAUUUACUGGGCGUAAAGGGCGCGUAGGCGGCGCAACAAGUCACUUGUGAAAUCUCCGGGCUUAACUCGGAACGGUCAAGUGAUACUGUUGUGCUAGAGUGCGGAAGGGGCAACUGGAAUUCUCGGUGUAGCGGUGAAAUGCGUAGAUAUCGAGAGGAACACCUGCGGCGAAGGCGGGUCUCUGGGCCGUAACUGACGCUGAGGAGCGAAAGCGUGGGGAGCGAACAGG